ACAGUAUGUCACCCAGUUUUUCUCCAGGAAAGACUCAGCAGCUGAUGUCAGCCGGUGCACUGUCUCCCCUCAACUUCCCCCAACCCAAUGACCAAGAAGUUUGUCCAGCAGGUGGUGGUAGAGAGCUAGUGAUCCCACAGAAACGCAUCUACAUGAGGUGGAGAAUUGUGAGUGUAUGUGGCAAGCAGACCCAUCGCCAGAGCUUCACCUGACCUCUCACUCCCCUCUGCUGCACACACCUUGUCAACAGAAGCAGAAAAGGUCCAGGGUGGCCUCCUCACACCAGUCGGACAGCAAGCAGAGGAGUGGAGGUGGGAGUCACCUCCAGAGAGGAAAUGGGUGAUCCAAGCAUUUCUCCAAACAGCUCCUGAAAAAACGAACUGUAAGAAAUGACAGAUACUACAUUACUGCAGCGGUACGUUGAAGGAUUGGUGGAUGCGUAGUUUUUGGGGUAUACUUCUACUAUGUCUUAGAAUCAGUGGAGAAUUUAAAUUGCAUAAAAUGUCAUCCUAUUUACUCUGACAACACAACAGGUUUCCACAAACUCAGACCACAUUUCUGCAGCCCAUUGCUGCUUUGGGUUUUUUCUUUUGUUGGACCAGAAGUCUAUAUUUGCUGUUUUAGGAGAACUACACCACAGAGAACAUCAGAGGCAUCUCUGUAAUGUAUUUUCUGUGGGAUUGCACCCCUCUGCCAACAUCUGGGACCAUAAAACAAGAUCAAAAAGUGACAGAGAAAACAAUACAGCAAUGACAACAAACAAUCUAACCAUUGAGCAAUGAGAGGAGGAAGAGGAUUAGUCCCUAAACUAUCCAGUUUCUCUUGUGGUUGAUCUUUUUUCUAUCUUGAAUCCAUUUGUAAUAUAGCAAAAAGAGCUGUAGGCACAAACAGCAAAACAUUUAACCUCCCAUAGUGCAACAUUUAGUGCAGCUGCUGCUCGAAGUGACGAGGGCCUAGGAGGAAGAGGUCUGAGAUGCAGCCUCUAAUCAUAAAGUCACUGUAUAUGUAACCAUUAAAAUACUGUCUGAAACUAAAUGAUUAUCUCCGCAUCACAAACCCUUAACAGUGAAUCAUUUGAUGCAGUGCAGAGGCUUGUAUUCCCCCUAACAUCCCUCAAAGCAAACACAACCAAAAUAUCACAAAAAUGCAUACAGAGUGUCGCUAUAGAGGCACUUUCAUAUGUGUGGAAACGUGCCACCAUCUUUGAGUUGUUCCCUAUGAAAUAGGAUUCAGGCUUGGGAAAAGCCAUUGUUCUAUUUCAGUUUGCUUGAAUCUUUUCUGUUGCAUACUAGCUCGCCGCUUCACCGCUCUGACUUCUGACAAAUAGCAUCUGCACCAGGGACGCCACUUCCUCCCAUGAGGCAGAUGGGAACAAACCCUGUAUAAUCACUUCAAAUAAACAGGAUGCCAUUAAUUGUUUGCCCUGUCAAUUGAAGUAUGUCCCUUGGUAUUCAAUGAGAACUUGAUUAAUCAUUUUAAUGGUCGACUUAUUGGUUGCCAAUGAGGAGAGAUAAAUUGUCUGGCAAAGAACGAAUCACUGGUUGAAGCCCAUAUCACUCUGUAGAGGCCGAGUUAUUUGAAGCUAUAGACGGUCAGCCCAUUUAUACUCUAGCUCUACCAUAACAACAUGUUACUGGUGCUGAAGGAAACUACACCAUCCUGUUCCCAUUCAAGAGUAUUUCAUUCAACAUCAUAUUCUCCCUUGCAGUAGAGCCCUAAACUAACCAAAACUUCAUUAAGAACUGGUCAACAACAAAAGAUGCCAAGACUCGGAUCACAUUCCAAGAUGUUGCUCUGAAACACAACCUUAAUAUCAAAGGUGUCACCUUAUUACUACAGUUGUGCAGUGGUCUACAACUGCUAGAGAAGAAAAGACGACUCCACUCCAGCAGAGGGCAGUAGUCUGUUUUCAUCAUUCAAAAAGAAAUGUUAUUUUAAAGCAGCGUAUGCCCACUACUUAUUUACUACUCUUGCUUGUAACUUACACAGCGUUGUCGUUACUAACGUAUAAGUUUGCUAGGUUAUGGAUGUCACUGACUCACUCAACCCUUGAUGAUUUGCUUGUGACGCACCAGUCAUUUGUUUGGUUUCCUCCUCGCUCUCUCAAAUUGCUUAAUGGGGGGAUUGCUAUCAAUGACACUGGAACAGCCUACAUGAUAAUAAAGUAAGUAAGUAAACUUUAUUCAGUAUAGCAUCUUUCACAGAGCAUAGUCACAAAGUGCUUCAAUAUCGACAAUACAAUGUGCCAUAAAUAGAACAAUAAUA